rnacentral:rRNA from 1 species
GACGAACGCUGGCGGCGUGCUUAACACAUGCAAGUCGAACGGAAAGGCCCUGCUUUUGUGGGGUGCUCGAGUGGCGAACGUGUGAGUAACACGUGAGUAACCUGCCCUUUACUUUGGGAUAACUUCAGGAAACUGGGGCUAAUACCGGAUAGGAGCUCCUGCUGCAUGGUGGGGGUUGGAAAGUUUCGGCGGUUGGGGAUGGACUCGCGGCUUAUCAGCUUGUUGGUGGGGUAGUGGCUUACCAAGGCUUUGACGGGUAGCCGGCAUGAGAGGGUGACAGGCCACAUUGGGACUGAGAUACGGCCCAGACUCCUACGGGAGGAAGCAGUGGGGAAUAUUGAACAAUGGGCGGAAGCCUGAUGCAGAAACGCAGCGUGCGGGAUGACGGCCGUCGGGUUGUAAACCGCUUUCGCCUGUGACGAAGCGUGAGUGACGGUAAUGGGUAAAGAAGCACCGGCUAACUACGUG